GAUGAACGCUAGCGGCAGGCUUAACACAUGCAAGUCGAGGGGCAGCGCGGGAUAGCAAUAUCCUGGCGGCGACCGGCGGAAGGGUGCGUAACGCGUGAGCGACAUGCCCGUUGCCCGGGGACAACCGGUGGAAACGCCGACUAAUCCCCGAUGGGAUAUUGUGCCGCAUGGCACGAUAUUGAAAGUUACGGCGGCGACGGAUUGGCUCGCGUCCGAUUAGCUGGUUGGCGGGGUAACGGCCCACCAAGGCUGCGAUCGGUAGGGGUUCUGAGAGGAAGGCCCCCCACAAUGGGACUGGGACACGGCCCAUACUCCUACGGGAGGCAGCAGUGAGGAAUAUUGGUCAAUGGGCGGAAGCCUGAACCAGCCAUGCCGCGUGCGGGAAGGAGGCCCUGUGGGCUGUGAACCGCUUUUGCCUGGGGGCAAUAAGGGCGUCGCGCACGUCCGAUGAGAGUACCAGGCGAAUAAGCAUCGGCUAACUCCGUG
rnacentral:rRNA from 1 species